rnacentral:lncRNA from 1 species
UUCGGGUACCCUACCCGAAAAAAUCGGGUACCCGAACCCGAAAAUCAGUGAAAAAUAGUACCCGAUCCCGAACCCGAUUACUAAAUCGGGUACCCUAAUACCCGACUCGGGUAUCCGAAUCGGGUAUUCGGGUACCCGAAUUUACCCGAGCUGUUAAUGAAUUGGAUGCCCAAAAAUCAAAAUGCUUCCAGAUCCAGAAAUGUAGGGGUGGGAGAAGAGGCAGAGGACGAUGGUCGGAGGCUCGGAGCUCGGAGGCUCGGAGCUCGGAGGCGGCGCGGCGCUGUUGCUGUGGGAGAAGAGGCAGACGGGGUCGCCGCUCAGGUACGGAGGCGUGCGUGGCCGGCGUGGAGGCUGGAGCAGUACGACCCUCAUUGCGAUUCUGUAUUCUCGAUUCGCAAUGUUCCAUUGAUGCGAAAUGGUUUUCUUCGAUGAGCAGAGGAGUUUCAGUACGUCCCUCCGACGCGAACUUGGUCACCGGAGCAGUCGGCGAUUGCUGCUGGAACUCAUGUCGACGGGAGACGGCGGAUGAGGACCCGUGCUAGCGUCUAGAGACGUUACUGCUUUCCUCCGACGCGGCUUCGAGCUGCGACCGGUGGGGAUCCGUCCAGCGAGGUUACACGACGCCGUCGGCGUCGCGGCUUCGAGCGACGGCGGUGGGAUGACGGACCAGGCGCGGCGGCGAGGAAAAACGGUAGCAGCGGCGGCUGUAAUCUGUCGAAGACAGCAAACCCUAACUGGGGUCUUGGGCUGGGCUGAAGAUGUUUGGGUCUUGAACUAGGGCCCCUAAAAAAUUAAAAUUAAAAUUUCAAAUCCCCCCCUUAUUUUUAAUCGGGUAAUUCGG